rnacentral:lncRNA from 1 species
UCUUUCAAGUUACAAUGGUUACAAAUUCCAUGUAUAAGCACUAUCUCGAUAACAUCAUCUGAAUAAGUGAUAGACAUUAGACAAAGCGGUCCAACUAAUCUCACUUUUUAAUUAAUAUGGAAAGAUUUCACUCUGAUAGGAAAUUAAUUGAGACACCGUAAUGAACAUGGCAAGAUUUUGAUUCAUAAUUUUAUAAUUAAUCACUAAUCAUGUUCUUUAAAUUAUGGAUUGCAUAAUGCAUAUAUUCAACAAACAUGCAUUUGAAGUUAGAAAUGGAUAGAAGAGAAAAAAGUAAUAGAUGUGAUAUAUGAUGAAAGAAAAAUAUUGGGGAAAAAUUAGAUAUUUGUUAAAAGUAUGUAUGCCUGGUAUCAUUACAGUUAAAUUAAGGACUAUUAAGAAGGUGCGUUACUUACCAUAAGAAUAGCUUUUAUAUGGUCGGGAGUAAGAUCAAAAGAGAAUGAGUGGUGAUUCAUCAUCUGCACAAGAAUAUCAAUGAUAUAUGGAACUUCUUGGUCAUUGGUUUGAGGCCUUGUUGGAUUCAUGUGGUCAUGGAUGACUCGUUCAUAGAUCAAAUCUAACUCCUUGAAGGUUUUGUCUAGCCUCCUCAGAGUUCCUCAAAGUCUAUCAACCCACCCCAUCAAUCGAAAGUGAUCAGAAAAGAAAAAUUCUGUCAACAAAGCUUGAGCCUCAUUGAGAAGCACCUGCAAUCUACUCUUCUUUUGGUCAUUUCCUAUUUCCAAUUCUUCCUCAUAAUCAUAGCCGUACUUUCUCCCAAAAGCUAUCCUGCAUAUUAGGGAAUUUGUGAAAGACAUCAAUGUUUCAGUCAAGUUCACUGCUUUUUCUGAAGAAUCAUAUUUUGCUAUUUUCUGAAUCAUUUGGGAAACUUCAUUUUCUCUGAUGUUACUAAAGGAUUGGAGGCGUUGAGAGCUGAAAAGGUGGAGGGCACAGAGUUUUUUCAUUUCUCUCCAAUAAGGGCCAUAAGGUGCAAAACCCAAGUCCAAGCCAUUGUAAGACAAUUUCCUCAUGCCAAGGAAAGGUGGUCUGCUUGCAAAUUUGAGGUCAUGGGUUUUCAAAACUUCUUUGGCCAUUUUUGCUGAGGAAACCACCAAACAUGGCACAGAGCCAAGGUGCAAUAUCAUGAGAGGUCCGUAACGUUUGGAGAGUUUCCAUAAACAGCGAUGCAGUGAUGAGCUAUCAAGUUGGUGUAUAUUGCCGAUUAGAGGAAGGGUUGGAGGGCCAGGUGGAAGAGUUGCUCUUGUACCAUAUGUUCUGUAUUUGUGGAUGAUGAAUAGAAUGGCGAUAGAUAAUAAAGAAAGAAGAAAAAGACACCCCAUGAUACAAGCUUGCAAAUUGCUCAUCUUUCUUCCAAUUUUAUAGAAGGGGAGAAAAGUGAUAGUUACACAUCACAUUAGGUGUACACGUACACUUGAAAAGGAAGGAAAGUAUACAUGCUCUUCCUAUAGAUUUGGAUCCAUUCAAUUGUAAAAAAAAAUUGAUCAUGUGGAAGUUUCACCACCUCACCAAUUAUUAUUAUGUGUUUAAUAAUUGAAUAAAUAAAUGAGAAUUAAAUCAAUGAUGUAAUGAUGAAAUUUGACAUGAUCAAUUUUUUUUUAUAAUUAGAGGAUUCUGAUUUCGAUCGAUAUAUAUUAUGAUUUUAAAAAUAUGAGGGGUAGAAACAUCGACAAAAAUAAAGUAGUAGUAGAAUUUGCACAAACUUAAAACAUCAGGGACAAAAAAUACUUUUUAGCCUAAUAUAUAAUAUAUGAUUAUUUUUCUUACUACUCCCCCUUUUAGUUUCUACUUAUAACUCCCCAUUUCUUGUCAACACCAAAAAGUUGUGUAAAAUCUGGGGAUGAGCAGAUGCAAACAAAUAUGCCAACAAGUUAAGGAUAAAUUUUAGUGAAAAUUUAAUUCAAUGACCAAUACUAAUAAUUCGUUAUUGUUGUGGACCGAAAACAUAUUUAACCGAAUAUUUAAUAUACCACUACAAAAAAAUCUUGCGUGGACUAGUUUGUCUCUUAGCAAUAAGAUAAAGAUCAAUUUUUUUGUGCAUUGUUAUUCCGGGUUUUGCUUGCGUGUCCAACAUCUCUUCCUUGUCAAAUUUAGGUGGCAGCUCCCAAUCAAAUGAAUGAAGAAGAUUAGCUAGUGAAAGCUCAACUAUGAUCAUUCCCAUGCUCAUUGCAGGACACAUUCUCCUUCCUGCUCCGAAUGGAAUCAACUCAAAAUCUCUCCCCUUGAAGUCUAUUGAACUCCCAAUGAACCUUUCAGGAUAAAAUUCUUCAGGGUCUUCCCAACUCUCAGGGUCCCUUGCUAUUGCCCAAGCAUUUACAUGCACUAGAGUUCUUGCUGGAAUCUCAUACCCAUCUAUGUUGCACCUUUCCAUUGUUUCCCUUGGCAAAAGUAAUGGUGAUGGUGGGAACAACCUCAAAGUCUCCUUGACAAUUGCUUUAAGAUAAGGAAGCCUUUCAAUAUCAUCUUCACUUAUAAAAUCUUUGUCACCAAACAAGUCUCUGAUUUCCCUCUGAACCUUACUCAUCACUCUAGCAUUCUUCAAUAGUGCUGUCAUGGCCCAAACUACUAUGGCUGAGCUAGUGUCUGUUCCUGCUAUAAAGAUGUUCUGCACAUAUAUGCAUGACAUAGUUAAAUACACAAAUAAAAUUAAGGGCAAUUAAGGAGGUUCCUCAUUCUUUAUCCCGCUAAUAAAAUUUUAACAUAUCAAUUAAAGAUUAAACCACCAUGUGAGUUUGUAACGAUCCAACUCGGGACUGUCUAGCGUCCACUAUCUAUUCGGGUAAUGCAUGCAAACACUGCUACCAAAUUGUUGCGAAUUAGCUACAAGAAUAUCAAAUUCGCAAUUAAUUUUUGAACAAUUAUUUUACAACUAUUCUUUCAAGUUACAAUGGUUACAAAUUCCAUGUAUAAGCACUAUCUCGAUAACAUCAUCUGAAUAAGUGAUAGACAUUAGACAAAGCGGUCCAACUAAUCUCACUUUUUAAUUAAUAUGGAAAGAUUUCACUCUGAUAGGAAAUUAAUUGAGACACCGUAAUGAACAUGGCAAGAUUUUGAUUCAUAAUUUUAUAAUUAAUCACUAAUCAUGUUCUUUAAAUUAUGGAUUGCAUAAUGCAUAUAUUCAACAAACAUGCAUUUGAAGUUAGAAAUGGAUAGAAGAGAAAAAAGUAAUAGAUGUGAUAUAUGAUGAAAGAAAAAUAUUGGGGAAAAAUUAGAUAUUUGUUAAAAGUAUGUAUGCCUGGUAUCAUUACAGUUAAAUUAAGGACUAUUAAGAAGGUGCGUUACUUACCAUAAGAAUAGCUUUUAUAUGGUCGGGAGUAAGAUCAAAAGAGAAUGAGUGGUGAUUCAUCAUCUGCACAAGAAUAUCAAUGAUAUAUGGAACUUCUUGGUCAUUGGUUUGAGGCCUUGUUGGAUUCAUGUGGUCAUGGAUGACUCGUUCAUAGAUCAAAUCUAACUCCUUGAAGGUUUUGUCUAGCCUCCUCAGAGUUCCUCUAAGUCUAUCAACCCACCCCAUCAAUGGAAAGUGAUCAGAAAAGUAAAAUUCUGUCAACAAAGCUUGAGCCUCAUUGAGAAGUACCUGCAAUCUACUCUUCUUUUGGUCAUUUCCUAUUUCCAAUUCUUCCUCAUAAUCAUAGCCGUACUUUCUCCCAAAAGCUAUCCUGCAUAUUAGGGAAUUUGUGAAAGACAUCAAUGUUUCAGUCAAGUUCACUGCUUUUUCUGAAGAAUCAUAUUUUGCUAUUUUCUGAAUCAUUUGGGAAACUUCAUUUUCUCUGAUGUUACUAAAGGAUUGGAGGCGUUGAGAGCUGAAAAG